GACGAACGCUGGCGGCGUGCUUAACACAUGCAAGUCGAGCGGUAAGGCCCUUUCGGGGGUACACGAGCGGCGAACGGGUGAGUAACACGUGGGUGACCUGCCCUCAGCUCUGGGAUAAGCCUGGGAAACCGGGUCUGAUACUGGAUAUGACUCCAUGACGCAUGUUGUGGGGUGGAAAGCCUUGUGCGGCUGAGGAUGGGCCCGCGGCCUAUCAGCUUGUUGGUGGGGUGAUGGCCUACCAAGGCGACGACGGGUAGCCGGCCUGAGAGGGCGACCGGCCACACUGGGACUGAGACACGGCCCAGACUCCUACGGGAGGCAGCAGUGGGGAAUCUUGCGCAAUGGGCGAAAGCCUGACGCAGCG
rnacentral:rRNA from 1 species